rnacentral:rRNA from 1 species
GACGAACGCUGGCGGCGUGCUUAACACAUGCAAGUCGAACGGAAAGGCCCUGCUUUUGUGGGGUGCUCGAGUGGCGAACGGGUGAGUAACACGUGAGUAACCUGCCCUUGACUUUGGGAUAACUUCAGGAAACUGGGGCUAAUACCGGAUAGGAGCUCCUGCUGCAUGGGGGGGGUUGGAAAGUUUCGGCGGUUGGGGAUGGACUCGCGGCUUAUCAGCUGGUUGGUGGGGUAGUGGCUUACCAAGGCUUUGACGGGUAGCCGGCCUGAGAGGGUGACCGGCCACAUUGGGCCUGCGAUAGGGCGCAGACUCGUACGGGAGGCAGCAGUGGGGAAUAUUGCACAAUGGGCGGAAGCCUGAUGCAGCAACGCCGCGUGCGGGAUGCCGGCCUUCUGGUUGUAAACCGCUUUCGCCUGUGACGAAGCGUGAGUGACGGUAAUGGGUAAAGAAGCACCGGCUAACUACGUG